UCCGGCUUGCCACCGGCAGUUCCACUAGAGUGCUCAACUGAAUGAUGGCAACUAAGGGCGAGGGUUGCGCUCGUUGCGGGACUUAACCCAACAUUUCACAACACGAGCUGACGACAGCCAUGCACCACCUGUGCACCACCUUCGAAAGCGACUGCUUUUCGGCAGCUUGCAGGUGCAUGUCAAGCCCUGGUAAGGUUCUUCGCGUUGCAUCGAAUUAAGCCAUAUGCUCCACCGCUUGUGCGGUCCCCCGCCAAUUCCUUUGAGUUUCAACCUUGCGGCCGUACCCCCCAGGCGGGAUGCUUAAUGCGUUAGCUGCGCCACUGAUAAGCAUGCUUACCAACGGCUAGCAUCCAUCGUUUACGGCGUGGACUAC
rnacentral:misc_RNA from 1 species